rnacentral:lncRNA from 1 species
AUGGUGCUUACUGGGAGAGGGUACUGGCGACCCACCCUGGGGCUCUGCCUUUCUGCCAGUGAUGUCCCGCCCCCGCCCCCAGAUGAAUCCUCUGCUGACUUUCCUGGGACAGUCUUGGUCAUGGCGAGCGGCUGGAGACGGAAGGGACCUUCGGCCAGCUGGGGUGGGUCACUCUCUUUUCGGACUCCAUGCCCGCCAGCUCCAGCAGCCUCCAGAGUGCACGGUGUGUCCGAGCUGCUGUCCACCCGGUCCUCAGGGCUCCGGGCUCCAACCCCCACCCGAAAGUGGGCACUGGCUCUCCCUGGCCCCCCAGCCCACCUGCAAGCCCCGCGGCCCCGCGUAGCCGGAGCAAGUUUGAUGAGAGACCAUAAAUGUGUAUCAAUAAACGUUUUAUAUCUUGCACUGAAGAAGCCUCUGCCCUCUGUCCUGUCCGGGGUCUGUUCCCACCGUGAGGACGCCCUGGGGCAAUGGGAGACUCCGAGGGAGCCCUUCCUGCUGCACCCCGUCACCCUGCUCAGCACCCAGCUCCUGCGCCCCUCUCCUGCUGUCUGUCUACACCUCGGGGUGCCCCCUGUGCCAGCUGUCUGUCUACACCUCGGGGUGCUCCCUCUCCUGGUACAGUGUCCACUCCUCGGGCAGAGGGAGCUUUGGUCAGCCACAUUGUUCUGUGCCGGCUCACGCCAGUGCCACCCUUGCUCACCCACUGCAGCCCCUGCUCCCCUGGGAACCUGGGUUCCCGCCCCCACCCCCCACCUCACUGCAUGCCAGGCCUGUGCCGCUAACAUGGUCCCUGCACGUAGGUGCGCAGUGUGUCCGCACAGAGCCCCCCGGGGCGGGCAGCUGCAUCAUCUCUUACUGCUCCCCUCUCACCCGACCUCUCGGGAGGCAGGGCUGGCCUCCCUGCGCCCGGCACCUCCCUGCUUCCCACAGUUGGCUGGAGCCCGCCUCCAGGGAGCCAGCCUGGAGAGAGACGGCCUCCAGCAGGGCCGGGCUGGAGGCUGCCUGACUGCACCCCCGCUCCCAUCAGUCAGCCCCUGGAAAGGCCCACCUUGGGCUCCUGCUGUCCAGCCUGGGACCUGCUCACUGCCUGGGCCCGAGAAGAAAGCAGGGCAGAGGCUGGGGGCCCAGGUCAGGAGCAGGGCCCUCCCCUGCACAGAGCCGGGAGAGGGGCGGAGGGCGGCUCUCCGAGCUCCGGCCAGGAGGCAUGGCUGA